rnacentral:rRNA from 2 species
CCGGAGCUUGCUCCACCGGAAAAAGAGGAGUGGCGAACGGGUGAGUAACACGUGGGUAACCUGCCCAUCAGAAGGGGAUAACACUUGGAAACAGGUGCUAAUACCGUAUAACAAUCGAAACCGCAUGGUUUUGAUUUGAAAGGCGCUUUCGGGUGUCGCUGAUGGAUGGACCCGCGGUGCAUUAGCUAGUUGGUGAGGUAACGGCUCACCAAGGCGACGAUGCAUAGCCGACCUGAGAGGGUGAUCGGCCACAUUGGGACUGAGACACGGCCCAAACUCCUACGGGAGGCAGCAGUAGGGAAUCUUCGGCAAUGGACGAAAGUCUGACCGAGCAACGCCGCGUGAGUGAAGAAGGUUUUCGGAUCGUAAAACUCUGUUGUUAGAGAAGAACAAGGAUGAGAGUAACUGUUCAUCCCUUGACGGUAUCUAACCAGAAAGCCACGGCUAACUACGUGCCAGCAGCCGCGGUAAUACGUAGGUGGCAAGCGUUGUCCGGAUUUAUUGGGCGUAAAGCGAGCGCAGGCGGUUUCUUAAGUCUGAUGUGAAAGCCCCCGGCUCAACCGGGGAGGGUCAUUGGAAACUGGGAGACUUGAGUGCAGAAGAGGAGAGUGGAAUUCCAUGUGUAGCGGUGAAAUGCGUAGAUAUAUGGAGGAACACCAGUGGCGAAGGCGGCUCUCUGGUCUGUAACUGACGCUGA